GAUGAAGAACGUAGCGAAAUGCGAUAAGUAGUGUGAAUUGCAGAAUUCCGUGAAUCAUCGAAUCUUUGAACGCACAUUGCGCCUCCUGGUAGUCCGGGAGGCAUGCCUGUUCGAGCGUCACCAAAUCCAACUCAAGCGGUUUUGCGCUUGGUCGUGGCGGAAGAGUCGGUCUGGUUGCCGUCUCCCCUCCGAAAAUCAACGGCGGAAAGUCACUGGCAGUCAGCGUAGUAGUAUCGUUCGCCGAACAUCCAGUGGCAUUCCUGCCGACGUACCCCCACAAUUCUCGUGAUUGACCUCGGAUCAGGUAGGGAUACCCGCUGAACUUAAGCAUAUAAAUAAGCGGAGGA
rnacentral:misc_RNA from 1 species